GUUUAUUGAACUCCUGCUAUAUACUAUAGAAUGAUGAGCAAAACCAGGCACAAUUUCGGCCCUGGAAGAGGAAAGGCAGAUACUUUUAGCUGAUACAAAGUCAGAGGUCUCAGCCCUCAGGAAAUGUUGACAGCUGGCGAAAUGCUGAAAGGAAAGGUACUCUACCCUUCCCCAUUUCUAUUAUCAUGCUUUAAGUACCACGUAAAAGAGUUCAACAUUAACAGACAUAGAAGUAUCUCUCUGGGAGUUUACAAUCUAAAGACUAUGACUGCAAGGUAGACAAUUAUCUGGAAAGGGUAUAGACAGAGGGUUGUCUGAAGUGUGUCCGUGAAAGUAUCCACACACACACGCACAUGCUGAGGCUGGGGAAGCAUCCAUGUGUCAGGGUUUUGAAGAGUUCAAACAAUGUCGAUAAAUAAUUCUGCAAAAGGUGUAUGUUGAGAAAAUGUAACUAAAGGAGAAAGAAGAGCUGGAACGUCAAAGUGUCUCUACCAAUCUUCAUUGAUUUUAAUAGGUUGACAUAAAACCUCCAAAUAACAAUCACCAGUCAUCCAAAAAACGGACCUCAGUUUGAGCUAAUUCCUUGGUCUUUAACAGUUCUUUAACAGCAGGAAACAUCUCAAACUGUUCCAGUCGGGUUUCAGCAAUUUCCUGUUUUUGAACCUACACACUUUUAUCUCUCCCAUGGAAAACAUAAACAUCGGGGUGAAAUGGAAUUCAGGAUUCUUAAAUGGUCCCCUAUUCUGAUAUGGCUAAUUUUCCAUCAUCGAACCUCUGGGGUUACUUCAAUACAAAAGCCUGUUAGCCAUGGAAAUGGAGCAGCUGAUUCAAAGUGGUGAAAUUGAUAAGAGAGGAUCUGUGCAAACUGCCAGGCGCCUAGGGUGGAAUGCGAAAUUCCCUAAUACAGUACUACUUUCCUCUGGAUCUGUAGCUUGGGGACGCAGCACACCACCGGACUUGGCUCCUCACCCCUUUCAAAUCUGCAGGAAGUGCAUCUCUGCUGGUCUGAACCCUGCCAUUUCUGAGUUGCCUCAGAGCUAUAGGAAAACAUCACUAACUCAAUCUGUUGCCCUGAAAUGCUGAAAAUAAAAAUAGCAUCCGAGAGGCUACUUCCCUAGAUUCCUGUUAUUUCAUAUAAAGAUUUUAUUUUUCCUUGAGCUACUGUUCCUUUCUGACCAUCUUCCUCAUUACAGAUGCUCUUUCAAAAUUUCAUGUUGCACCCAGUCCUGAAUGUCAGCAAGUUUAUUGGGGAGAAGAGGAAAUAUCCUUCUCCCUUCUGUGCAGAGGCAGGAAACGUUGGGGGAGCAGGUCCAUUGCACCAUAAGGCCCCCAUCCUGGGCCCACAUGUGUCUAUGCAGAUGGCACCAAAUAAAAGAAAAUUCCUGGAGGAAGCAAUCUGAAUGGGAGAAAUCACAAGAGCUAAAAACCGUUGAAAACCUUUUGAGAGAAUCUGGAGGAAGAGGCUAGGCAUGGAGGCAAUUUCAUGCACUUAGACUUGGGGAUGGCGGAGGAUUCCUAGGCUGAUUGUAGGUGUGUUUGUAUGUGACACAUGCCUGUAAUAAUGCGCUAAAUCUUGCUUUUGAUUUGUUUGCUUGCUUGCUUGUUUUUUGGCAUGAGCUUACUAUAGGACUACUGAGACUUGGCUGUCUCCUUCAGCACAUCAUCCUGGGAAACCGUUGCUUGGUUUUCUGUUCCUAGCUGAAAGGUGUUUCCUGUAGAGAGGUUACCCCGACUUACCUAUGAAGGAUGACCAUAUAAUUUGUCAUAUAAACAGAACACAUUUCAGAGUCCAAGUGGACACUAAAAAGUAGUAGACAAUUGAUCUACAACAAAUGAAAACAUGGACAUCACAUGGUCAACGGUUGACUCGGAUAGUGGUGAUUACUGGAAUCCAGAAUGGGCCCAAUUCACAUUCUCUAAGGGCUCACGAGAAAUGCUCUUUCCCCCAAAACCCUGGAAACAAGCAUGAAACAAUAAGCUCUUGGAGUAUUCUAUUUCUGCUUCAUAUUGCAGUCUCAAAAAGAAGCCUCUUGUUUUGUUUGUUCAAAUGCCAGAUUACAGUCUCUUCUCAGUCUAGCCUCCGUUUAAUUACUUUACUGCAUCUUUGCUAUUUCCCUUUGGCUUGUCAAUACUCCCUUUAGACUUCUAUCAGCACAUUUGGAUAUUAUGAUAGUGCAGGCAGUCCAGAGUCAUAAGCCUAAGACCCUCUACAACCCAGGUGGGAAGAUCAAUCUAGCAUACAUGCAUGAAUUAAAGAACAAUGAACUAUUGUUCUGGAUAGAACGCACUAUGAGUUCAGAUUUAAGAAGCACGAGACUGGCCUGGGCUAGAUUUGUCAAGAAAGUCUCAUGGAGACAGUAGUAACACGUGCUGGGUCAAGGAGGAUUAAGACUGACAUAUAGGAGACAGUGAGCAACCCUCUGCCAGGAAAUAGAGUAUUGAAGGGGAAGGAGUAAAUUGAGCUCCAAAUAGGCAGACCCUUGAAUGAGAAAUGUGGCUUUGCAAAGAUUUGUCAUAGACCAUUUUCAGCCUUUGAGCAGGAGAGUGACCAGGUAAAGUGGUACUGCGGAAAGGAAAAUCUGACAGUGGUAUGCUGACCAUUGGUGUGGGAAGGUCUGAAGUAGAAUCACCAGGAUAGAGUCUGUUUAAAGAAUCUAGUUAUAACAAGAAAAACAACUUCAUUGAACUUUAAUACUGUGCCUCUGUCUCCAUCCCUUUGCAUACAUGUUAGAUGCCACUUUCUGAUACAUUUCUUUAAAUAUUUCAUUGUAAGUACAGGCGUAUAUCUUCUCUUUAUUCAUCAUUAUAUUCCCCCAGAAAGGAUGUAAUGUUUUACUCUGGCACUUCCACAUUUCACUAGGCACCCCCAACAUCCUGAAUAUUUAAAAAAUAAUCUAGCUUUCCCCACAAAAUAGGGUACUACCUUUUCUCCAUUUCCUUCUAUUUAUUAUUCUCACAGAUUUUUAGGGGUGACUUUAUGCUAUGUAAACUAUCUCCACUUCAUACAUUUAAAAAAGAAAAAUAAACAAUUGGUUAUGUUUAUUAAAGGGGAAUCCAAAAGGUGGAAUCUUUUUGGUGUGGUAAUUUUGCCAAAGUCAAAGAGAGUCGGGGUCAGACUGGGAAUGUGGGAGAGCCUUUCCUUUCCAGUCUUAGAUACUAUAGAGAACUUGGGAUCCUGGGAGAAACAUGGAGUACACAGGUGGAGAAUAAUAAUGCCGUCAGCAUGGUGUCAUUUACAAUAUGCUUGCUGCAGGUCUUCAGGCCCAGUUUCAACAUCAGGCCAGUUCCCUUUGGCUGUGUGACACUGGGAUAGUCACUUAACAUCUCUGAGCCUCAGUUUCACCAUCAGUCUAACAAUGGUGUUUUACUUGAUGAUCCUUUUC